ACGGUGGCAAUGGGACCCAGGCGUCCGAGGGGGCAUCAGAGGAGGCGGCUACCGGCUGCCCCUCCGUAUGUUGGCCUGGCCAGGAUUCCAGAUUCCUCUGAUGUCGCAGCGGAACAGAGGGACCCCCAUCCAACGACUGACCUCCAAAGCGGUCAGGCAUGGAGUUUGUCACUGGCUACCGGGCCGAGAUCCUGGACUUUGCUGAGCUGCUCUUCAGCUGGUACCGGCGCUUCUUGUUGGACUCAGCCUGCCGGCGAGGCAGCGAGCGCCGCAAGCGCCAGGAGGGCUCCAUCCGGCGCCUGCCCCCGGAUCCGGCCCUCUGGGUGCUGCACGCCUUGCCCAACCGGGCACUGGCCUUCACCGUGGCUGACCCGGGGCAGCAGGUGGGCGGUCGCUUCUACAGCGAGGAGGCCCUGGCCCUGGGGGACCUGGAGCGCUUCAUCACCUUCGUGGGCGCCGGCGAGGAGGACGAGGAGGAGGCCACACCUGAGACAGGCCAGCCGCUCUGGCGCGUGGACCACCUCCUGCUGGUGACGGACGAGCACGGCAGCAUCCUGGGCUUUGACUUCCAGCUGGGGGGGUCCUGUGCAGGGGCCACGGGGGCCGAGCAGCCCCUAGAGCCCCGUGCCGUCGCCCUCCUGUGCCACAGCAUGAUCUGCCCUCUGGGCGCAGGGGAGCCGCGCAGGCCCAAGCUGCUCACCGUGGGAGACGCGGCCUUGCACAAGUCCCUGGAGCCGCUGCUCUCGAGGCUGGGGGUGAAGAUGAGCAAGGGCCCGAUGCGCGGCUGGGGCCCCAAGCCGGCCUUCACGUUCCCCACCACCCGUGUGAGGGCCUGCCACGUCUGCAAGAGGUACAGCUUCGAGGGACAAGUCACGGCGUGCCAGCACUGCAGGGCCGUCCUGUAUUGCUCUGAGCGCUGCCGCAAGCUGGACUGGAACCGCAGCCCUGAGGACAUCGGGCACCAGUUCUGGUGCCAGCGCAUGGCUGGGUACAUGAGUCGCACCCGAGAGCUGGCCAACCUUCCCUUCACCUUCACAGCAGAGGUGACCAGCGAGAACUUCAACAAAGAGGGCUUCCUCUCUGCCAGGGGUCUGACCCGCGGCUACUGGGCCGGAGAGAGCAUGCUGGUCAGGGCGCCCGACUACGGCGUGGGGCUCCAGGGGGGUUCUGAGAAGCCCGUGCCCUUCCUGCAGAGCGGGAACCCCUUUGAGGCGCUACGGCCGGAAGGAGGGACAGCUCUUCCGCCAGCCCCCCCUGAGCCUCCCAUGCCCCGGACAUUCUUUGGGUCCUGGAAGGAGUAUUACCAGUGGCGGGGGCUGCCCCUCGGAGCCCCUCUGGCCGUCCUCCUGAGCUACCCCCUCACUGCCUACUACAUCAUCACCCAGCUGGCCCCUCAGCACUUUCCCGAGUUGAACAUCCUGAACAAGCAGUCUCUCAAGAUCCACGUGGUAGAGGCAGGCAAAGAAUUUGGGGUCCUGAUGGUCUUCUGGGAGUUGUCGGUGCUGCUGCCCCAUGUCUCUCUGGAGCUUCUGUUUGUGGGGGACGCCCUGCCCCCCCAAUUGGACGGCCAGCAGUUUCUCCUUCAGAGGGAUGAGGAGCAAGGCGUCUCUGUCCGGCCUGGCCUGGCCCCCAGAUGCAAAGGGGGGCGGCGUGAACUGCAGUUUGGGUUCAGUGCCCGCCCCUACCACCUCCUGCAGGCGCCCAAACCGGACCUGGUCAUUGGGUUCAACUCUGGAUUUGCCCUCAAGGAGACUUGGCGGAGUUCUCUGCCACGACUUCAGGUAAGCCGAGCCCACUCAUCACGCAGUACUUAGAAACGGGGUCUCCCCCUCAAAACUCCUCCCUCCAUCCUAUGGAAUGACAUCGCUGUGACAUCAUCUCUUGACAUCACGGCUGCUGGAUACAGUACUUUGGCCCAGCGUACAGCGUUGUGACGUUAGACAUGCCUUUGCUCUGCUUCUGAAGUGAUGGCGUCUCCCGAGCCCAAUUCUCCAGUUGUGAUGUCAUCAGGCCUUUGCUAUGAUGCUGUGACCAACUGACACCAAGUAACCACCUCAGAGCUGGUGAAGUAACUGCCCUGGGGUUGGUGGCAAUUCACGGCAUUUGUCUUCCAGGCUGAAUUUUGAUUCUAGAAAUUCCCUUCGGGUGCCGGCCUACUUCACUGAAUGCAGCGAGUACAGCUGUGCUGUGGAUGAGGCCGCUGUCUCCAUGGCGACAGGGGGCA